AGCGAACGCUGGCGGCAGGCUUAACACAUGCAAGUCGAGCGGGCACUUCGGUGUCAGCGGCAGACGGGUGAGUAACACGUGGGAACGUACCCUUCGGUUCGGAAUAACGCUGGGAAACUAGCGCUAAUACCGGAUACGCCCUUUUGGGGGAAGGUUUACUGCCGCAGGAUCGGCCCGCGUCUGAUUAGCUGGUUGGUAGGGUAAUGGCCUCCCAAGGCGACGAUCAGUAGCUGGUCUGAGAGGAUGAUCAGCCACACCGAGACUGAGACGCGGCCCAGAAUCCUACGGGAGGGGGGAAUGGGGGACAGUGCAACAUGGGCGCAAGGAUGAUGGAGCCAGGACGGGAGAGUGAUGUAAGCAGUAGGGAUGUAAUGCGCUUUUGACUGUGACGAUAAUGACGGUACCGGAAGAAUAAGCCCCGGCUAACUUCGUG
rnacentral:rRNA from 1 species